rnacentral:tRNA from 1 species
UCCCGAGUAGCUCAGUUGGUAGAGCAGGUGGCUGUUAACCACCUUGCCGGGAGUUCGAGUCUCUCCUCGGGAGCCA